UACGUAGGGUGCAAGCGUUGUCCGGAAUUAUUGGGCGUAAAGAGCUCGUAGGCGGUUUGUCGCGUCGGCUGUGAAAGCCCGGAGCUCAACUCCGGGUCUGCAGUCGAUACGGGCAGACUUGAGUGUUGCAGGGGAGACUGGAAUUCCUGGUGUAGCGGUGAAAAUGCGCAGAUAUCAGGAGGAACGACCGGUGGCGAAGG
rnacentral:rRNA from 1 species